rnacentral:lncRNA from 1 species
UCAAUUUUCUCUUCCCUUUGUUUUAUCUUAUUUUAUCAUGAGUAGCUAAACUCUAGAUUGAUCCUUAGGGAAUUCUAAUUUCAAUUUAUCUUGAACCAUGUGAUUAUCAUAUGUUAUGAUCAAUGAAUUACGAAGUUAGUUUCUUCAAUUAUUCCUUGUGCUUAAUACUUUACAUGACUUGAUCAACUGUGUGAUGAUUUCAAUUAUUUGUUUUACUAUGAUGAUAGGAAUGAAUGAUCGAUCUAGGAAUGAUUGAUCAAUUAACUUUCACUUAAGACAUUUCGGAUUGUUAAUUGAGAUUUAACGGAUUAAAGUUUAUAUUCCUCAAUUGAUCAUAGAUUACCUAAGACAUUAGGAAUCGAUGAUCAAGGGAGAGGAUUAUGUUACCAAGACAUUGGACAUAACCAAUUUUGAUUUAAUCUAAUCGUGAAACUGAAUUGAGUAAUUUGUAAUCAUACAUGAAAUUACCAAGAGAAAUAGUAAUUAGAUGAACCAAAAGGAUCGAUCGCUGUUCUUUUAUUACUUGGAAUCCUAAGUUAUUUCUAGUUUAUGAUUAAACUUCAAACCAAAGAAAAACCCCCCUUUUAUUUACGUCUUAAAUACGAUACAAUUGUUUUGUCAAGAUUGAAACAAUCCCUGCGGAUACGAAUUUUAUAAAUUUUAUUACUUAACGAUAAAUUAGUACACUUGCUAAUUUGUUAUCAA